UACGAAGGGGGCUAGCGUUGCUCGGAAUCACUGGGCGUAAAGCGCACGUAGGCGGACUCUUAAGUCGGUGGCGAAAUCCUGGAGCUCAACUCCAGAACUGCCUUCGAUACUGGGAAGCUCGAGUCCGGGAGAGGUGAGUGGAACUGCGAGUGUAGAGGUGAAAUUCGUAGAUAUUCGCAAGAACACCAGUGGCGAAGGCGGCUCACUGGCCCGAUACUGACGCUGAGGUGCGAAAGCGUGGGGAGCAAACAGG
rnacentral:rRNA from 1 species